rnacentral:lncRNA from 1 species
AUGCUGAGCCCGCGCGCCCGCCCGCUCGCUCCCCGCCCGCCGCGCGUCGGCACUCACGCUGAGGGGAAAGAGCGAGCUGCCGGGGAGCGGAGGGGGGUGGUCAGGCCGACACUGUCGCCGCCGCUGCCAGAGCCGCCGCCUCCUCCCUCAGUUUCGUUUCCCUACAAGCCAGCCCAGGUCCGCCAGCCGCGCCGUCGCGCUCGGGUCCAGUACUGCGGGCAGCGCAGCCUGAUGACGUCACGGACAGCGCCGCGCCCCGCUCCUCCCCCAGCCGGGUCCUGGCCUCGGGAAAGGCAGCUGGGGUUCUGGCCUGCUCCACCCUUUAGCCUGGGAAGUCCAGGGGCGCCUGCGCGGAAAAGUCGCCGGGAAAAGGCUGCAAAAGCAAAAACUAAGAACAAGUUCCGAGAGGCAGAUGGUAACCUGGUUGAGGGCAAGAACCCAGUGUUCUUAUUCCCUGCUGUAUCCCCAACAUCCAGCCUAUGGGACAUCUCAACAGAUUUUGAACGAAGGACGAGAGGAAAGAAGGAAUGCCGCCCAUAGCAUCUUACCAUAUGGACACAGAUGGCUCUCCACCCGAAACCUCUCUUCUGAUUUUCAGGCCAUUAUGGCCAAACGUCUGUUGGACAUCCUCACUCAGUCACCUCAAACCCCAUGAAUUCAAAUUUCACCUUAUGUUCUCCCAUCAGCUCACUUUUUUCCUGGUGAAGGGCGCUGCCAUCCAUCCUGUUGAUCCAGCUAGAAAUCUGAGGAGUCUCCCUCUUCUUCAUACGCCAAAGCUGCUCAUACACUUAAUUGAGUUUAUCUCCUAAUUGUCUUUCAAAUCCAUCCAUUCACCCCCAUCCCCAUUGCCACAAUUCAUGCACUCACCCCGACUCAGCAGAAUUUCUCCAGUAAUCUCCAAACCCCUGUGACUGUCUCCAGUUGUGAUCCCUCUAAUGCGUUCUUCACAAAACCAAAGUGAUUUUUUAAAUUUUCAACAUCUAUGAAAAGAAGGGAAUUUAAAAUUAAUUAAACCUGAUCCUGUCACAACCCAUCAAUGAUUAAAAUCCAUCAAUGAUGUCCUAUUGCUCUUAGAAUAAAGCUAAUGUCUUUAAAAUGGCCUCCGAGACC